rnacentral:rRNA from 1 species
GACGAACGCUGGCGGCGUGCUUAACACAUGCAAGUCGAACGGAAAGGUCCUGCUUUUGUGGGGUGCUCGAGUGGCGAACGGGUGAGUAACACGUGAGUAACCUGCCCUUGACUUUGGGAUAACUUCAGGAAACUGGGGCUAAUACCGGAUAGGAGCUCCUGCUGCAUGGUGGGGGUUGGAAAGUUUCGGCGGUUGGGGAUGGACUCGCGGCUUAUCAGCUUGUUGGUGGGGUAGUGGCUUACCAAGGCUUUGACGGGUAGCCGGCCUGAGAGGGUGACCGGCCACAUUGGGACUGAGAUACGGCCCAGACUCCUACGGGAGGCAGCAGUGGGGAAUAUUGCACAAUGGGCGGAAGCCUGAUGCAGCAACGCCGCGUGCGGGAUGACGGCCUUCGGGUUGUAAACCGCUGUCGCCUGUGACGAAGCGUGAGUGACGGUAAUGGGUAAAGAAGCACCGGCUAACUACGUG